UAGGGAAUCCUCCACAAUGGGCGGAAAGACCUGAUGGAACAACGCCGCGUGUGUGAUGAAGGGUUUCGGCUCGUAAAACACUGUUGUAAGAGAAGAAUGACAUUGAGAGUAACUGUUCAAUGUGUGACGGUAUCUUACCAGAAAGGAACGGCUAAAUACGUGCCAC
rnacentral:rRNA from 1 species